rnacentral:rRNA from 1 species
AGAGGAAGUAAAAGUCGUAACAAGGUUUCCGUAGGUGAACCUGCGGAAGGAUCAUUAUCAGAAAAUUUCAUUAUUUUUUGAAAUAUUUUUCCAAUUUCCCCUGUGUAUUGUACUCCAUGUUGCUUCCACUAGACUGGUAUUUAGAUAUACCCUUCAACCCACUAAUUCUUAGAGGAUUGAAGAAAUGCCAGUGGAUAGCCUUAAACCAAAAGAACUUUUUUGUUUUAAAUAAUAGUCUGAUAAAAAGGAAAAAAAAUAAUAAUAAAAACUUUCAACAACGGAUCUCUAGGCUCUUGCAUCGAUGAAGAACGCAGUGAAAUGUGAUAAGUAAUGUGAAUUGCAGAAUCUCGUGAAUCAUCGAAUCUUUGAACGCACAUUGCGCCCAAUGGUAUUCCACUGGGCAUACCUGUUUGAGUGUCAGAAUCCUUCUAAUAAUCAAACUUUUAUAUAUCCGUAUAAAGAUGUUUGGAUGUUAAUUGAGAAGAGUAGUAUUGUUAUAAUAUUACUUUCUUAAAAACUAGAAAUAUUUUGUUUUGGUUUUCUUCCCAACUCAUUUUAUAUUAAAUAUAACAAAUGAGUGUGAAUUUAAACAAGGGACAAUAAUACUUUUGGAUGACCUCAAAUCAGGUAGGGAUACCCGCUGAACUUAAGCAUAUCAAU